UACGAAGGGGGCUAGCGUUGCUCGGAAUUACUGGGCGUAAAGCGCACGUAGGCGGCUUGUUAAGUCAGGGGUGAAAUCCUGGAGCUCAACUCCAGAACUGCCUUUGAUACUGGCGAGCUUGAGUUCGGGAGAGGUGAGUGGAACUGCGAGUGUAGAGGUGAAAUUCGUAGAUAUUGGGAAGAACACCGGUGGCGAAGGCGGCUCACUGGCCCGUUACUGACGCUCAGGCGCGACAGCGUGGGGAUCGAAACAGG
rnacentral:rRNA from 1 species